rnacentral:rRNA from 1 species
ACCCGCACAAGCGGUGGAUGAUGUGGUUUAAUUCGAUGCAACGCGAAAACCUUACCCACCUUUGACAUGGCAGGAAUCCCGAAGAGAUUUGGGAGUGCUCGAAAGAGAACCUGCACACAGGUGCUGCAUGGCUGUCGUCAGCUCGUGUCGUGAGAUGUUGGGUUAAGUCCCGCAACGAGCGCAACCCUUGCCAUUAGUUGCUACGAAAGGGCACUCUAAUGGGACUGCCGGUGACAAACCGGAGGAAGGUGGGGAUGACGUCAAGUCCUCAUGGCCCUUAUAGGUGGGGCUACACACGUCAUACAAUGGCCGGUACAGAGGGUAGCCAACCCGCGAGGGGGAGCCAAUCCCACAAAGCCGGUCGUAGUCCGGAUCGCAGUCUGCAACUCGACUGCGUGAAGUCGGAAUCGCUAGUAAUCGCGGAUCAGCAUGUCGCGGUGAAUACGUUCCCGGGUCUU